GCGCCAGUAGCUCAGUGGAUUAGAGCACCGGUCUUCGGAACCGGGUGUCAGGGGUUCGAAUCCCUUCUGGCGCA
rnacentral:tRNA from 1 species